rnacentral:lncRNA from 1 species
GAAUCACGUUCAAACUAUAAUUUGAUAUUUAAGUACAUGGUUAACAGAUAGUGAAAGUAGCUAACUCUAACACAAUGAAAAACUUUAACUUUACAGUUUGAAGGUUUAUGAAGAACUUAAAAUGAAAAACUUUAACUUUACAGUUUGAAGGUUUAUGCUCUUGUAUUUGGUAAUAUGUCAGUGUCAGUGUGUUAUUUAUUCUCAUAUACAGAAAAAAAAUCAUCUAAAUACAAAACAAAUUGUAUAAACAACUCCACGC